rnacentral:rRNA from 1 species
UACGGGGGGGGCAAGCGUUGUUCGGAAUUACUGGGCGUAAAGGGCUCGUAGGUGGCCAACUAAGUCAGACGUGAAAUCCCUCGGCUUAACCGGGGAACUGCGUCUGAUACUGGAUGGCUUGAGUUUGGGAGAGGGACGCGGAAUUCCAGGUGGUAGCGGUGAAAUGCGCAGAUAUCGGGAGGAACACCAAUUGCGAAGGCAGCUCGCUGGGACGUUACUGACACUGAGACGCGAAAGCGUGGGGAGCAAAC